AUUGAACGCUGGCGGAAUGCUUUACACAUGCAAGUCGAGCGGCAGCGCGGGGCAACCUGGCGGCGAGCGGCGAACGGGUGAGUAAUGCAUCGGAACGUACCCAGUCGUGGGGGAUAACUGUCCGAAAGGACAGCUAAUACCGCAUACGUCCUGAGGGAGAAAGCGGGGGGAUCGCAAGACCUCGCGCGAUUGGGAGCGGCCGAUGCCGGAUUAGCUAGUUGGUAGGGUAAAGGCCUACCAAGGCGACGAUCCGUAGCUGGUCUGAGAGGACGACCAGCCACACUGGAACUGAGACACGGUCCAGACUCCUACGGGAGGCAGCAGUGGGGAAUUUUGGACAAUGGGGGCAACCCUGAUCCAGCCAUUCCGCGUGAGUGAAGAAGGCCUCGG
rnacentral:rRNA from 1 species